GACGAACGCUGGCGGCGUGCCUAAUACAUGCAAGUAGAACGCACAGUUUAUACCGUAGCUUGCUACACCAUAAACUGUGAGUUGCGAACGGGUGAGUAACGCGUAGGUAACCUGCCUGGUAGCGGGGGAUAACUAUUGGAAACGAUAGCUAAUACCGCAUAAUAUUGAUUAUUGCAUGAUAAUUGAUUGAAAGAUGCUAUUGCAUCACUACCAGAUGGACCUGCGUUGUAUUAGCUAGUAGGUGAGGUAACGGCUCACCUAGGCGACGAUACAUAGCCGACCUGAGAGGGUGAUCGGCCACACUGGGACUGAGACACGGCCCAGACUCCUACGGGAGGCAGCAGUAGGGAAUCUUCGGCAAUGGACGAAAGUCUGACCGAGCAACGCCGCGUGAAUGAAGAAGGUUUUCGGAUCGUAAAGCUCUGUUGUAAGAGAAGAACGGGUGUGAGAGUGGAAAGUUCACACUGUGACGGUAUCUUACCAGAAAGGGACGGCUAACUACGUG
rnacentral:rRNA from 1 species